rnacentral:lncRNA from 1 species
AGGUGGGAAGAGUAUUUACCCGCUAAUCUCUUUAUUCCCUCGCCUGACAAAAUAUCUGCAUUCCUGGGCGGCCUCAAGAAAUGAACUACAGACAUCUAUUCCCUUUGUGAUACCUCCUUGGAAUCAAAGUGUGGAGUGUAACAAUGUGCCUCCACACACUCACACUAGUUGAUGCUUCAUCUUGGUGAAAUCAAGUUUUUGGAAUUACCUUUCCUAAGAUCAUUCUAUUCACAGAGAAGGAGCUUAAUGAAACUAUGGUGGAUGUAUUCUAGACAGAAGAAGGAUUAAACCAAGAUAAAAACAAUGUGAAUGAGGAAAGUGGGAGUAACAGGGAUUCCAAGAGAAAGAAAUAUGUCUUAACCUUAAAGAAUCAAGGACUCCAGGGAUCUUUAAGUUCUGGUAGUGAGGAGAGUCAAAAAGGUAUAUCUCACCAAAGAGCCAGUGAAAAGAUGCUGUGAGAAUGGGUAGCCAUCGAAAGCAAUUCUGUUCAUCAGACAAGAGUUCUUGCUAUUUACACCACAUCUGCAGUGACUUCCUCCACUGAAGUAUUGAACCUUUAAAGUCAUCCAUGAAGGUUGAAAUCAACUUCUUCCAAACUCCUCAUAGGAUUGAUAUUUUGACCUCCUCCCAUAAACGACAAAUUUUCUGAAUGUCAUCUAAAAUGGCAAUUUUUUUCCAGAAGGUUUUCAACUUUGCCCAGAUCCAUUAGAGGAAUCACUGUAGCAGUUAUAUCCUUAAUAAAUGUAUUUGUAAAAUAAUAAUACUUGAAAGUCAAAAUUACUCCUUAACUGUGGGCUACAGGAUAGAUGUUGUGUUAGCAGUCAUGAAAAAAACAUUAAUCUCCUUGAACAUCUUCAUCAGAGCUCUUGGGUAACCAGGUGCAUUGUCAGUGACCAGGAAUAUUUUGAAAGGAAUUUCAAAAGGUCUCAACAGUAAGGCUUAAAAUAUUCAAUAAACCAUACUGUAAACAGAUGUGUUGUCAUCUAGGCUUUGUUAUUUCAUUUCUAGAACAAAUGCAGAGUAUAUUUAGCAUAAUUCUUAAGGACCCCAGUAUUUUCAGAAGGGCUAAUGUGUAUCGUCUUCAUCUUAAAGCCACCAACUGUAUUAGCUCCUAAAAAGAGAGUCAGCCUGUUCUUUGAAGCUUUGAAGCUAGGCAUUGACUUCUUCUCUCUAGCUACAAAAGUUCUAGAGGGCAUCUUCUUCCAAUAGAAGGCAUUUUGGUCUACAUUAGAAAUCUGUUGUUUAGUGUAGCCAUGUUCAUCAAUUAUCUUAGGCAGGAGAACUUCAGCUGGAGAACUUGCUGUAGCUUCUUGCACUUGCUUCACUUGCACUUUUAGGUUGGAGACGGUUUUAUAAAGAUAAUUUAUUUUCUUAAAUCCCAUGAAUCAACACCUACUAGCUUUAAACUUUUCUCUUCAGCUUCCUCACCACUCUCAGACUUCAUAGAAUUGAAGAGGUUAAGGCCUUGUUCUGGAUUAAGCUUUGGCUUAAGGAAAUGUUGUGGCUGAUUUGAUCAUUUUUAUUCAGACCACUCAAAAUUUCUCCAUUAAGCCAUAGGCUGUUUUGCUUUCUUAUAAUUUGUGUGUUCACUGGAGUCACACUUUUAUUUUUUAGAGACAAGUUCUUGCUCUAUUGCCCAGGCUGCAGUGCAGUGACACAAUCAUAGCUCACUGCAACCUUGAACUCCUGGGCUCAAGUGAUCCUCCUGCCUCAGCCUCCCAGGUAGCUGGGACUAUAGACAUGCACCACCAUACUUGGCUUAUUUUUUUUAAAUAAGUCUUCACUAUGUUGCCCAGGCUGGUCUUGAACUCCUGGUCUCAAGGAAUUUCCCCACCUUAGCCUCCCAAAACUCUAGGAUUACAGGCAUAAGCCACCACACCUGUCCUGGAGUAGCACUUUUAAUUUCCAUCAAGAACUUUUCCCUUGCAUCCACAACUUGGCUACUUGUUGCAAGAGGCCUAGCUUUCAGCCUAUCCUGACUUUCAACAUGCCUUCCUCACUAAGCUUAGUCAUUUCUAGCUUUUGAUUUAAAGUGAGAGCCAUGUGGCUCUUCCUUUCACUUGAACACUUCGAGUCCAUUGUAGAGCUAUUAAUUGCCCUAAUUUUUUUAUUGUUGUUUUAAUAUUUGCUACUACCACCAAGAUCUGCGCCUGCAGUGGCUCCACCCAGGCCCAUGUUCUAUUAAGGGACAUUGCAAUGGCCCUUCUACUCAUCUUGGCAUAGUGUCUUUAGGCUUGGGAGAUCUGAGCACUGCUCUGUCCUUCCUGCUCUAGUCCCUCUACUAGCAAUGGCUGCAUAUUGGCUCAACUCCUCAGCACCAUCCAUUUUCAGGGACAGUUGAGUAGUCAGUUGAGUUGUUAUACACUCCUUAGUGGAUUCUGACUUCCAUGGUCACUGUACUGUUGUAUAAUCAACUAUCCUAAUUUCAACAUUGUUGUGUCUCAGGGAAUAGGGAGGCCUGAAGUUAAGGAGAGACAUGGAGCAAUGAUCAAUCAGUUGAGCAAUCAAAACACACACAACAAUUAUCAAUGAAGUUUACUGUCUUAUAUGGGCAUGUUUUCUGGUGCCACAAAACAAUUACAAUAGUAACAUCAAAGGUCACUGAUCACAAAUCACCGUAACAGAUAUAAUAAUAGUGGAAGUUUGAAAUAUUGCAAGAAUUACCAAAAUGUGUCACAAAGACCUGAUGGACUUGCUAGAGGCAAGGCUGCCAAAAACUUUCAAUUUGUUAAAUAUGCAAAAUCUGCAUGGUAAAAUAAAGCAUAGCACAAUAAAAAGAAAUAUGCAUGUAUACACUAUUUAUAAUGUAUAUCCCUACAUAUAAUAUAUAUCAAUAUAUAAUAAAUGUACGUAUUGUUACAUAUUUGCAAAUAUAUAUGGUGAAAUAUAUCCAUGAGUUGCCAAAUCUGUUUUCACAACAUUAUGAACCUUCAAAAACAUGCCCAGCAAGGAGUCAUGAUGGCUGUGCAUACCCACGAACAGGGUUGAUUAGAAACAACUGUUUCAUUUACACAACACUGGGUCAUAUGACAAAUAAAUAACAGCAACCUGCCUAUUUUUAAAAUUUUGACAUCUUGCUUCUCAUGAAUUUUUUUAAUUUUUGAUUUUUUAAAUUCAUUGCCUUAACUAUUAUUUAGCCUGAUUACUGAGUUUUUGGCACCACUUUUAAAAAAAUAACUCAUUUAUUUUGAAAUGAUUUUCAUUGUAUAUAUUUAUGGGGUACAACAUGACUUUUUCAUAUAUGUAUACAUAAUGGAACAAUUAAUCAAAGUAAAUAACAUAUCUUCACCUCAUAAACAUCUUUUCUGUGGUUAGAACAUUUAAAAUCUACUUUCUUAGCACUUUUCAAGUAUGUAGCACAUUAUUAUUAACUAUAGUCACUCUGCUGUAUAACAAAAUAAAUGUCCAGAACUUAAUCAUCUUGUUUAACUGAAUCUUUCUAUAUUUUGACAAACAUCUGUCCUUGUUCCCAGCCUAUGAAAAGAAUACCCUACUCUUUUGAGUUCAACUUUUUCAGAUUCUACAUAAAAGUGAGAUCAUACAGUAUUUUUUUCUGUGCCUAGCUUAUUUUACUUAGCAUAAUAUCCUGCAGAUACAUCCAUAGUAUCUCAAAUAGCAAGAUACCCUUUUUUCUAAGGCUGAAUCUUAUUCCAUUGUGUGUAUCCGUCCCAUUUUCUUUAUCCAUUCAUCCAUCAAGAGAUAUUAUUUUAUUGUCAUAUCUUGGCUAUGAAUAAUAGUUCGCUAUUAAGAAUAAUGCUGCAAUGAACAUGAGGCUGUAGAUACCUCUGUGACAUAACUGAUUUCAUUUCCUUUGGAUAUACACACAGAAGUGGAAUUGCUGGAUUAUGUGGUAGUUUUAUUUUUAAUUUUUGAGAAACCUCCAUACUACUUUUCAUAAUGGCUAUACUAAUUUACAUUCCCACAAACAGUGUGCAAGGGUUCCCUUUUCUCUACAUAUUUGCCAAUAUUUGUCUUUUGUAUUUUAAUAAAUGCUAUUCUCACAGGUGUGAAGUGAUAGCUCAUUCACACCUGUGAAUUUGCAUUCCCCUGAUGAUUAGUGAUGUGAAAUAUUUUUUUUUUUGUAUACUUAUUGGCCUUUUGAUUCUCUUCUUUUGAAAAAUAUUUAUUAAAGUUCUGUGCCCAUUUUUUAAUCAGUUUGUUUGUUUUCUUGCAUAGAGUUGAGUUCCUUAUAUAUUUUUUAAAUUAACCCUUUAUCAAAUAUAUUGUUGGUAUAGUUUGAAUAUUUGUCCCCACCCAAAUUUCAUGUUGAAAUGUAAUCCCAGUGUUGGAGUUGGACCCUGGUAGCAGGUGUUUGGAUCAUUGGGGAGGAUCCCUCAUGAAUGGCUUGGGCCGUCUCUUUGGUGAUAAGUGAGUUCUGGCUCUGAGUUCACAUAAGAUCUGGUCAUUUACAACUGUACAACAGCUCCUGGCUACUCUUUCUCUCACUUGCCACUGCCGUAUGGUGUUCCUACUCCCCCUUUGCCUUCCACCAUGAUUGUAAGCUUCCUGAAGCCUCCCCAGAGGCUGAGCAGAUACCAGCACCAGGCUUCCUGUAAAGCCUGCAGAACUGUGAGCCAAUUAAAUCCUUUUUCUUUAUAAAUUACCCAGUCUCAGACAUUUCUUUAGAUCAAUGUGAGUGAGCUAAUACAAUGGUUUACAAAUACUUUCUCUUGUUAAACAGGUUGUCUCAUGAAUAGCUUGUUGAAUGUUUCCUUUGGUGUGCAGAAGCUCUUUAGUUUGAUGUAAUCCCAUUGCUUUAUUUUUCCUUUUGCUGUCUGUGCUUUUGUGAUAAUAUUCAAUAAAUCUUUGCUAAUACCAAUAUCAUGGAGCUUUUCCUCUAGUUUUUG